CCUACGGGGGGCAGCAGUGGGGGAUAUUGCACAAUGGGGGAAACCCUGAUGCAGCAACGCCGCGUGAGUGAAGAAGGUCUUCGGAUUGUAAAGCUCUGUUCUUGGUGAAGAUAAUGACGGUAGCCAAGGAGAAAGCUCCGGCUAACUACGUGCCAGCAGCCGCGGUAAUACGUAGGGAGCGAGCGUUGUCCGGAUUUACUGGGUGUAAAGGGUGCGCAGGCGGCUCUGCAAGUCAGGCGUGAAAGCUAGGGGCUCAACCCCUAAACUGCGCUUGAAACUGUGGAGCUUGAGUGAAGUAGAGGCAG
rnacentral:rRNA from 1 species